rnacentral:rRNA from 1 species
CUACGGGGGGCUGCAGUGGGGAAUAUUGCACAAUGGGCGAAAGCCUGAUGCAGCAACGCCGCGUGGGGGAUGACGGCCUUCGGGUUGUAAACCUCUUUUAGCAGGGAAGAAGCGAAAGUGACGGUACCUGCAGAAAAAGCACCGGCUAACUACGUGCCAGCAGCCGCGGUAAUACGUAGGGUGCAAGCGUUGUCCGGAAUUAUUAGGCGUAAAGAGCUCGUAGGCGGUUGGUCGCGUCUGCUGUGAAAACCCGAGGCUCAACCUCGGGCCUGCAGUGGGUACGGGCCAACUAGAGUGCGGUAGGGGAGAUCGGAAUUCCUGGUGUAGCGGUGGAAUGCGCAGAUAUCAGGAGGAACACCAAUGGCGAAGGCAGAUCUCUGGGCCGUAACUGACGCUGAGGAGCGAAAGCGUGGGGAGCGAACAGGAUUAGAUACCCUGGUAGUC